GAUGAACGCUGACAGAAUGCUUAACACAUGCAAGUCUUUGGCGAAGCUGUGCUUGCACAGCCUAGCCAAGGCGGACGGGUGAGUAACGCGUAAGGAACUUGCCCUGCAGUCAGGGAUAACAGACGGAAACGACUGAUAAGACCUGGUAAAGUCAGGCGGACUCAUGUCCAGCCUGAUGAAAAGUGAUGCUGCAGGAGAGCCUUGCGUCCUAUUAGCUUGUUGGUGGGGUAACGGCCCACCAAGGCGAUGAUAGGUAGCCGGCCUGAGAGGGUGGACGGCCACAAGGGGACUGAGAUACGGCACUUACUCCUACGGGAGGCGGCAGUGGGGAAUAUUGGACAAUGGGGGCAACCCUGAUCCAGCAAUUCUGUGUGCACGAUGAAGGUUUUCGGAUUGUAAAGUGCUUUCAGCAGGGAAGAAAAAAAUGACGGUACCUGCAGAAGAAGCGACGGCUAAAUACGUG
rnacentral:rRNA from 1 species